rnacentral:rRNA from 1 species
UACAGAGGUCUCAAGCGUUGUUCGGAUUCAUUGGGCGUAAAGGGUGUGUAGGUGGCGCCGUAAGUCGGGUGUGAAAUUUCGGAGCUUAACUCCGAAACUGCAUUCGAUACUGCGGUGCUUGAGGACUGGAGAGGAGACUGGAAUUUACGGUGUAGCAGUGAAAUGCGUAGAGAUCGUAAGGAAGACCAGUGGCGAAGGCGGGUCUCUGGACAGUUCCUGACACUGAGACACGAAGGCCAGGGGGAGCAAACGGG